UUUAACAGUACAUUGCUCUAGAUGGCAACAGUCUAUCGACCGACGACUUGCUGAGGUUAGGCAAAGGCCAUUACCUAAUAAAGCUGACAGUUGAAGCAGAACAAAAAGUAAAUAAGGCCAGAAAGCUUCUGGACGACAUUGUGAGCAGCAACAAAGUUGUUUAUGGAAUAACAACUGGCUUUGGAAAAUUUGCAAGAACCACAAUUGAGAAAAACAAACUAAUAGAACUUCAAGAAAAUUUGAUUCGAUCUCAUUCAGCAGG